rnacentral:lncRNA from 1 species
UUCUAAUGCCCCUCAUCUUCAUUCUUUAGGAACUUUGGUUCUUCCAACCUAAUACAAUGGAAAAGAACAAUGCCAAAAAAAAAGAAUUUCAGUUGGAUAUUUAACCCUUAAUUUUUUAAAACAACCAUUCAUUUAGAUAAAUACAACUAUGUGGAUUUUUUUUCUAUUUUAUUAAUGUUUGCCUUAAUCCAUAAGAUCAAAAGUCUAGGAUACAUAUGGCACUAAACAUGUGUUAGGCAACAACCAAACUCCAUGCUAAUUCUAUCAUAAUAACUUGUUCUACAAUAUUUUUUGUAUGAAAAGACAACCUCAUUACUCGAUUAUCCUCUCUCAGUCAUGUUAGAAUAGCAUUUAAAAAUCACAUGAAAAUCUUGAUUUUAAGAGGUAUCCUAGAUUCCCAUUUUUCUUAUGUCACACCAUUAUCAUUACUAUAUUGGUGGUUGUACUUCAACUUAAGAGAGAAAAUUAUGCAUUUCUACAAAUUCAUUUUGGUUUAUCAAGCCAAUUUUUGUAGCUUGAAAAUGUAUUAGCACUCGUGCCAAGGAUGAUCAAUGACAAUCCAAUAGGUAUAAGUGUUUAUACCCAAUGUUUUGAACUAAUGUAUUAGCAAGGAGUCAGGGUUUCUCACUUCCUUUGUUGGGUCAAGCCAAGAAAUUUAGGUAUGGCACGAGCCAUAGCGGGUCAUAAUGGGCCUCCACCACUGUCAUCCUACAACACUACUCUCUUGACGAUCACGUCCUCAUUGAUGUUGUUCGCCUGACGAUCCCGUCUUUGCACGGGUGAACAAUGUACUCUUCUAGAUCCUUAGCACAAUCAUAGUCGAGUUGCAGGACAUCGUCCACAAUUGUGACAAUGCUACUCACUAGGCCUAGGUUGCUAUCGAGGAACAGUUCCUUGGCAACCAUGAGGUCGGUGCCCUCCACCUAAAUAUUGGCUUCCGUAACUUCGUUUAAGGGGACCUCUCCAUCACUAAGUACUGCCACCUAAUGAUGGGCAUGGUGGACUUCCUACAUGACCUCAGCGAGCCUAUUUUGGAUUGUACCCCAUCCUUAAUCUCCUUUGCGGCCUCAAUGAGCUACAAUCACCUAUAGACUUGGAUCACACGAUCCAUGUCGUUUUUUCAUUCCACACUGUUUGCAACUAUCUCAUCCUUGAGGAGCUCACCAAGGGGGGCCAUGUCCCCCUCCGACACCGCCAUGGCCUUCGACAACUCCACCUCUAGUAAGCAACCAUAGUGCUCCACUCCUACUAUUAGUGGUCUGUCCUUGUGCUUGCAUGCACCAUCAACGUCAACAACCCCUUGUCCCCCUAACAACUCUGGUGGUGGUAGCCUCGGUAGCAGAGGGAUGGCCACGGUGGUGGUAGUAGGAAGGGUGACGCACCCUAGCUAUCACUCUAUAACCCAUGGACCGACACAUUUCUUUAUGGCUCGACCCAACGAUGGUUGGUUCGUCGCCAUGCCCAUCGCAAUUGCAGUCAAUCCUCCUCAUUAUGCCCACCUUUGGUAGCCUCGAGUGCCUCCUAGAUCUCCCCUCGCAAGGAUACCCACUUCAGGGCCAAGCUGUUUGUCGGGUAACUCCGUAGAUACCCUUGAUACUUUCCCAUGUGCAAGUGGAUCUUUAGAAUAGCCUCUCCUAGACCGCUCCUCGACGUCUUCACUAUUGAGUUUUUUUUUCCAAAAUAUCAUGGGCCUCGUUAUCUCCAGUACAUGAAGGUAGCCAUACCAUAAAGACAAUUGGUGUGAUCUCGCAAUACUAGAAGCAUAACGUUGAGCUCCACAGGAGUGUCAACAAUGUGAUGAUCAUUAAGAGAAGUACGGUCAAGAAGCCCAUGAAUAUAUUUCUCCUAAGGAAGGUAGAAGCCCUCCGGAGUGGACAAAACCUCAAUCCUAAGAAAAUACCGAAGAGGACCAAGAUUAGACAUAAGAAAUUAGUCACUAAGACAUGCCUUCACAAAGGUAAUAAAUUGAGUUAUUCCCUGUAAUAAUCAUGUUAUCAACAUAAAGAAGAAUAGUCCUACCAUAAGAUGACAUGUGCAUGAACAAAAUAGGAUCAUGAGUACUAGCAAAGAAACCAGUAACCAGUAGUAUUGACCACAGAAGCGAAAACUGAAAUACGCACGAAAUCCGCGCCUAAGGACCACGCCUGAGGACCAGCCGACCAGGAAGUCUCUCCUGCUAGACUGAGACUUGAUCAGCAAUACCAUGACCCGCACACGAAGACCGAGACUAGACCUGCACGAAAGCCACGCCUGAGGAUUAUCCUCAACCUUUUCUUUUUUAAUAAUAUAAUUUGUUUUCUAAAAUACAUGUCAUGUACGGGAACACAUAUGCCAGGCGCAGGAGAGCCCACGACGUGCGCCGGGCGGCUGAGUGAGCAGCAAGGGCGCAGGAGCAGCAGACAAUCAGCUAGGAUGGAAAGUACCUAACUGAUUAGUCAUUUCCCUAUUUUGGUUUAGCUGGGAUGGAAAGUACCUAGCUGAUUAGUCAUUUCCCUAUUUUGAUUAGUCCUACAAUCAAGGAGAACCUUCUCCAUUUUGUAAGGCCACCGGCCAUAUAACCCUGUACGGAGGCACCUUGAGGGGAAGCAAUAAUCAUUACUGUCCAGCCCUCUCUCUCUCUCUCUCUAAGCCGGCGACUGGAAGGUUCACCCAGUCGACGUUGAAGCUCGACGUGGGGGCAUAACCCUGCCGGCAACCAUGGACCAAGGCUACGAGCUACGUAGCUGAGGUCCUCCUGCCUUAGGCACUAAUGCCCAUGACAGCCUGGUAUCGCGAAGCCGACGAUCCUCGUCUUCUUCUCAACCACCCACAUCCACCCCAGCAGCCACCAAUCAGCCCUCCCCACCACCCUCGCCCUCAACCUCCACCGCAUCCUCGGGCCACGCUACCAACAUGUCCGACCCAACCAUGGUCGACCUCAUGGAGCUGAUGAGAUCCUGGAAAACGGAGAUCACGACGGAGAUCAGGGAGAUGAAGGACGAGAUGGCCUCCAUAAAGGCGAAGUCGGCCUCGUCAUCUGACCUGGGAGGCGGCGGUUGCAUGGAGCCUCCUCGUGAGCAGGAUCGGCGCCCAGGUUCCAGACGUUGGACUUUCCCCGUUUCAAUGGCAAGUCUGAUCUGAGGCUCUUUAUCAACAAAUGUGAGUCAUGUUUUCGUCAACAGCGCACCAUGGCCGAGGAGCGCGUUUGGAUGGCGGCCUACAACCUCAAAGGCAUCGCACAAGAAUGGUUCAUGCAACUCUAGGAGGACGACGACACGCCGUCGUGGGGGCGAUUCAAAGAUCUCCUUGAUCUGCGAUUCGGACCGGCGCGGCGCUCGGUGCCCCUCUUCGAGCUGACGGAGUGUCGACGCACCGACACCGUGGAGGAGUACUCCAACCACUUCUAGAGUCUCCUCUUUCGCGCUGGGCGGCUCGACGAAUCCCAACGAGUCCAGCUGUUCACAGACAGUCUGCUUCCACCUCUCAGCCACGCCGUCCGGCUCCACAGUCCGGAGACGCUGGCCGCGGCUAUGGGAGCCUCGCCCGACAAGUGGAGUUGAUGGAACUCGACAAGCUGGCGGCGGCCCUGGCCAAGCCGGCGCAUCGCGCGCCCCCGACCGCCCCGACACAACACCGGGCGUUGGCAGCACCACAGGCGCCCCCGCUGCUCGCGCUAUCGGCACCGCCGGCGAAUGCUGCACCAGCCGCGCGAGAGCGGCAACCUGGUUACCGUCUAUCCAAGGAAGAACAUGAGGAACGCCACCGGCUCGGGCUGUGUUUCAACUGUGAUGAGGCAUACUUCCGCAGCCACAACUGCACCUGUCGCCGCAUCUUCUACGUCGAAGGUGUUGCGCUAGAGACAGACGACGAUGUCAUAGGCGCUGCUGGUCCAGCGGGGGAGCCCCCCAUCUACUCCCUACAUGCAGUGGCCGGGGUACCUACCUUCGACACGCUGUGGGUUCGGGCGCUCCUCGGGACAGCAGAGCUAGUCGCCCUCGACACGGGAUCGACGCACAACUUCAUAGGCGAGCGCGCAGCGUACCGCUCCGGGCUGCACAUCCAGCCGCGCCCACGGCUCGCCGCCACUGUGGCCAACAGGCGAGCGCAUCAUCUGCCCGGGGGUCAUCCGCGACGCGCUAAUCAAGGUGCAUGGUGAGACGUUCCACAUCGACCUUUUCGUCAUGCCUUUGGCAGGUUUCAACCUCGUCCUCGGCACGCAGUGGUUGGGUACCCUCGGGCCCAUCGUCUGGGACGUCGCUGUGCGGACUAUGCAGUUCCAGCGCGCGGGACACGCAGUCUGCUGGACCGGCCUUGCCUCUUCUGAUAGGCCGGCCCUCUGCGCGGCCACGGCGACUCCGACGUCGAUGCAGCCCCAACUGGGCCGGGAGGCCCUCCUCGACGCCCUUCUUUACUCCCUCGGCAACGUCUUCACCGAGCCCCGCGGCCUCCCACCCAAGUGUACCCGUGACCACUGCAUCACCCUCAAGCCGGGAGCGCUGCCGAUGGCGGCCCGUCCGUACCGGUACCCGACAGCACACAAGGACGAGCUCGAGCGGCAGUGCACCGCCAUGAUCGAGCAGGGCAUUGUCCGCCGCAGCGACUCGACGUUCUCCUCACCGGUACUCCUCAUUAAGAAGCCGGACGGCUCCUGGCAUUUCUGCGUCGACUAUAGGGCGCUGAACGCGCUCACCGUCAAGGACGCCUUCCCAAUCCUGGUGGUGGACGAGCGGCUGGACGAGCUCCACGGCGCGAAAUUCUUCACCAAGCUCGACAUGCGAUCGGGCUACCACCAGGUCCGGAUGCGCCCGGAGGACAUCCACAUGACGGCCUUCCGCACCCACGACGGCCUAUACGAGUUCCUGGUGAUGCCGUUCGGGCUGUGCACGCCUCGGUGACGUUCCAGGCUUUGAUGAAUGAUGUGCUGCGACCGUUUCUUUGCCGGUUUGUUCUGGUCUUCUUGACGACAUUUUGAUCUACAGUAAGAGCUGGGGAGAACACCUUCGUCACAUCCGCGCCGUCCUCGAAGAACUUCAGCGCCAUCAGCUGUUCCUCAAGCGCACCAAGUGUGUGUUCGGCGCAACGUUGAUCGGCUACCUCGGCCACGUCAUCUCCGAGGCGGGCGUCGCCAUGGACCCGGCUAAGGUCUAGGCUAUCCGGGACUGGCCCACGCCUCGAUCAGCAUGGGCGGUACGAGGCUUCCUCGGCCUGGCGGGCUACUACCGGAAGUUCGUCCACCACUACCGUACCGUAGCCACGCCAUUAACAACCUUGUUGAAGAAGGACGGGUUCUCGUGGAGCGAGAAAGUCGCAGCGGCAUUUGCAGCACUCAAGGACCGGUCACCUCGGCUCCCUUCCUCGCCAUGCCAUACUUCUCCAAGCUGUUCGUCGUCGCGUGCGAUGUGUCGUCCCACGGUUUCGGUGCAGUGAUGGUCAGGACGGCCACCCCAUCGCUUUUUUCAGUCGGGCUAUCACACCCCGACAUCAGGCGCUGGCGGCCUACGAACGGGAGCCCAUUGGGCUCAUCAUGGCGGUCCGGCACUGGAGGCCAUACCUUUGGGGACGCUGGUUCGUCGUUAAAACCGACCACUACAGCCUCAAGUACCUGCUGGAUCAGUGGCUCGCGACGAUUCCACAACAUCACUGGGUCGACAAGCUCCUAGGCUUCGAUUUCUCCGUCGAGUAUAAGCCCAAGUCGACCAAUGUGGUGGCAGAUGCGCUCUCCCGCCAUGACACGCCAGACGAUGGCCGAUGGGGCUCUCCUGGCCCUCUCAGACCCGCGCUUCGACAUCGUGGAUCGACUUCGUUAGGCGCAGCUCACCGACUCCGCCCUCGUUGUCAUGCAUGACGAGGUGCAGGCCGGCAUCAGGCGCGCGCCUUGGGCGGUGGUCGAUGGGAUGGUCCAGUACGUCAGCCGACCCUACUUACCGCCAUCUUCACCGCUGCUUCAGGAGCUGCUGGCAGUUGUGCACGCCAAAGGCCACGAGGGGUCCAGCGCACGCUGCACCGCCUUCGACGCGACUUUCACUUUCCUAACAUGAAGCAGGUGGUCCAAGAAUAUGUACGAGAGUGCCCUACCUGCCAGCGCCACAAGUUCGAGCAUCUACACCCGGCCGGGCUCCUACUUCCUCUCCCGAUUCCACAGGGAGUCUGGACGGACGUGGCGCUGGACUUCGUCGAAGCCCUGCCCCGAGUACGCAGCAAGUUCGUCAUCUUGACAGUGGUGGACAGGUUCAGCAAGUACUUUCACUUUAUUCCGCUGGCACACCCAUAUUUGGCGGAGUCCGUGGCUCAGGCGUUCUUCGCGAAAAUUGUCCGCCUCCAUGGUGUGUCGUAGUCCAUGGUGUCGGACCGCGACAUCGUGUUCACCUCCAAGUUCUGGCGGGAGCUCAUGCGACUGAUGGGGACCAAUCUCCACAUGACAUCGGCCUUCCACCCUCAGUCGGACGGCCAAUCCGAGUCGGCGAACAGAGUCAUCACCAUGUACCUGAGGUGCCUCACGGGUGAUCGACCACGACAAUGGCUGUAGUGGCUCUCGUGGGCAGAAUACCUCUUCAACACCACCUACCAGAGCUCCCUCCGUGACACGCCAUUCCGGAUCGUCUACGUCUACGGACGCGAUCCUCCAUCCAUGCGAUCCUAUGAGCGGGGGACACACGUGUUGCUGCUGUGGCCAGAACCAUGGAGGAACGCGAGGAGUUCCUCGCUGAUGUGUGCCAUCGUCUGGAGCAGGCCCACGUCGUCCAGAAAAAGUAUUAUGACCAGGGACACCGCGUCGUCACAUAUCAGGUGGGCAAGUGGGUGCUGCUCCGCCUCCGCCACCGGUCCCCUGCCUCCCUCAACACCGACACCACCAGCAAGCUAAAGCCUAGGUUCUAUGGGCCGUACAGAGUGCUGGAGAUCAUCAACGAGGUCGCUGUCCGCCUCAAGCUACCGGCACGAGCCCAUAUCCACGAUGUGUUUCAUGUGGGCGUCCUCAAGAAGUACCACGACACACCUCCACAAGCUACGUCGCCACUGCCCCCGCUUCACCAUGGGGCCGUCACCUUGGAGCCAGCCCGCACCGACAACACCAAGCUCGCCCGUGGAGUGCGCCAGGUACUUAUUCAGUGGAAGGACCAGUCCCCAGCAUCAGCGACUUGGGAGGACGUCGACACCUUCAGCGCCAAGUUCCCCACAUUCCAGCUCGAGGACGAGUUGCCUCUCGAGGAGAGGAGAGAUGUCAUGUACGACACACAUAUGCCAGGCACAGGAGAGCCCGCGACGUGCGACGGGCGGCAGAGCGAGCAGCAAGGGCACAGGAGCAGCAGGCAAUCAGCUAUGAUGGAAAGUACCUAUCUGAUUAGUCAUUUCGCUAUUUUGAAUUGGCUAGGAUGGUGCAGCGGUAUAGCCUACCGUCUGUAUCCGGAAGGUCUUGGGUUCGAGCCCCAGCCUCUGCAUAUUAUGCGGGUAAGGCUUGGCGCUUAAAGAUACCCUUCCCCAGACCCCGCACAGUGCGGGAAGCCUACGACACUGGGUACGUCCUUUUUAGGAUGGAAAGUACCUAGCUGAUUAGUCAUUUCCCUAUUUUAGUUUAGCUAGGAUGGAAAGUACCUAGCUGAUUAGUCAUUUCCCUAUUUUGAUUAGUCCUACAAUCAUGGAGAACCUUCUCCAUUUUGUAAGGCCACCGGCCAUAUAACCCUGUACGGAGGCACUUUGAGGGGAAGCGAUAAUCAUUACUGUCCAGCCCUCUCUCUCUCUAAGCCGGCGACUGGAAGUUUCACCCAGUCAUCGUUGAAGCUCGACGUGGGGGUAUAACCCUGCCGGUAACCACGGACCAAGGCUACGAGCUACGUAGCCGAGGUCCUCCUGCCUUGGACACUAACGCACUUGACAAUACAUGAUUUAGGAUUUAAUUGUUGGAGCUCAAUUUUUUUAGUGCUCUCAAUACUAUAAUGUAGUAUUUUGAUUUUUGGGGCACUAUUUUAAUGAACCUUGUUGGAGAUGCUAGCCACGCAUGCAGUCAGCUGCCAUGCAGGUUUCUCAUCUCAGUCACGCAUGCAGCAGAGGCGCAAUCACAUAUUGGAGAAGCUUCAGUCAAGUCUAUAAUUUAGGAUAUUUCUAUCUAGUUGUUAGUGGCCAGGAGCCAUUUUAUCCACUCGCACUCGGUUUGGAUUAAGCAAAAGAGUUUACUCUCCAAUCUCCCUUCUUUCUAAUCUCCCCCAUUCAUCAUAGGGCGUCAAGGGAAGCUGCCCCCAUACUCUGACGUCCUUGACACUGCAAAAAUAUAUAUAACACAAUUUAGCACAUAUUCCCUCUGUUCCGAAAUAAAAUGUGUUUUAGAGAAUUAGUGGAUUCAUAUAAUAUUUAAUGUAUAUUUUUUGUACAUAUAUAUAGAUUCAUCAUCAUCCAUUUGAAUGUAGACAUAAAAAACAAAAACAAAAACGACUACUACUUUAGGAUGAAGAGAGUAUUUUUUUUGUUUAGAAUACUAAUUAUGUGAUCAAAACAUAGUAAAAAAGGAUGCAAAAAUUUAUAAAUGUUUAGAGUGUGUACCUAGAUGGGCUGGCACCACUGUUUCGCUGCCGGCCCAUAUGCAAUACAACAAGCCUUUCGUUAAAUUCUAAUUUCAAUUUAUCGCAUCCAAUCUAUUUGAUGCAUUUUGUGAUCUAUCAUCGAUCCAUGUUUUAAAAUGAGAAAAUUACAAGUUUUUGAAUAUGCAUAGAUAUAGGUUAAGAAUUUGUGUGUUUCACAAUAAAUGAGCAGUAUACUAAGUUCUGACAUAAUUCUAAUAAAGUUUAUUUAUUUGUCUCGUUUUUUCAGUGCGCAGAAAACGAUUGAACGUUAUAGAACAUACACAAAGGAUAAUGUCAGCAACAAGACAGUGCAGCAGGAUAUUGAGGUAACUUGGUUAUAUUUCCUGUUACCAAUUUCAAUUCUUGAAUGUCGAUUUUAUCAAGAGAUUGUGUCUAUCCUGUGGAUAUAUAUUCCUUAAGAUAACUAGCAUUGAUGGGCCUAUGUUGCCAACAGUAUGAUAAAAUUUCUAGUGGAUGUCCAUCAUUUCCCAGCUGAUGAUUCUUGUACUGAAAUCUGAAGCAUAAAACUAUACUGGAGAGAGGCUUUGGCAGGGUACAACUGAUGUAGAGCUGAAUAUUUUAAAAGGACAUGUGACGUCGAUAUAUACAGCUGAAUAUUUUAAAAGGACAUGCAACGGUAGAUUUUUUUAGAAGCUUCGUUCAUUUCAAAACUUAAAGAAAAAUAUGUGAAUGUAUAGGUGAUAUACCAUUUGGUAGUUUUGAUGUAGUAGUAGUGAUACUAAGAUUGUCUGGUCCGGACCUAAACUGCAGCGAGUAAAAGCUGAUGCGGAUGGCCUGUCAAAGAGACUCGAAGCACUUGAAGCUUACAAAAGGCAAUUACCUAGCUAUCAAAUACUGAUAUCCUUAUGUACCUGCCCACGGACUAAUCUGCGUUGAGGCGGUGCAGGAAACUUUUGGGUGAGAGGUUGGAAGACUGCUCCAUUGAAGAGCUGCACAGUUUGGAAGUCAAGCUUGAGAAGAGCCUGCAUUGCAUCAGGGGAAGAAAGGUUAGCUAUUUUCUCCUGGUGGUCGUUUUUAAUUUUACAGCCUAUAAUGGGGUUUUUAACAUAACAAAUGAAUUAAAGCUGCAUCCAUAUGCGCAUGCACAAGCAGCUCACGACUUCAUAUCUUCUGAUCUUGCAUGGCAGACUGAGCUGCUGGAGGAGCAAGUCCGUAAGCUGAAGCAGAAGGUAAGCACCAGCUUCCUGUCCAUACACCUAGCGACAUAGCUAGAAGCAUCAGAAAUACACGGUUCCUAACUUGUGCUUCGUUUUAUGUUCACAUCUGUGUGUCGCGUCAACGUCAAACAGGAGAUGAGUCUGCGCAAGAGCAACGAAGAUUUGCGUGAAAAGGUAAUGGUGCCGAAACAUCUUACAGCCAUGAGGACCACAAGACGCUGCACGCUUUGAUUAUACUGCUUACCUCGACAUCUUAUGUGCAUAUACAGUCAUGCAUGGAUUUCUCUCACCAAUUCGCGUGCUGCGUGCAUCUGAUGGAAACCAUGUCUGCAGUGCA